AGCUCCAAUAGCGUAUAUUAAAGUUGUUGCGGUAAAAAGCUCGUAGUUGGAUUUCUGUUGAGGACGGUCGGUCCGCUCUAUGAGCGUGUAUCUGGCUUUUGUCCUCGGCAUCCCGUGGGAAAGCGGUCUUGCGCUUAAAUGCGUGAACCGGUCUACCCACGCUUUUACUUGAGGAAAUUCGAGUGUUUACGGCAGGCAUUGUCCGCUGUGAAGAUGUUAGCAUGGAAUAAUAAGAUAGGACCUUGGUCCCAUUUUGUGGUUUCUGGAACUAAGGUAUGCACGGUUAAUAGGAACAUU
rnacentral:rRNA from 1 species